ensembl:lncRNA
GUGAGGCUUCCUGUGACGCAGCAAGAAGUAACGGUUGAUUUGUCUCUCUUGAAGUUUGCUCUGCCUGUGGGUCUGGAUUUCCUCUCUUGUGUUUCCUGUCAGAACAGCAGACAGCUCAGCACAGGGACGGACAGCCAUGCCCUCUCUCGUUCUCUGGAUCCUGGCCCCAGACACCACCCUGUACAGCUGGAAUCCUACUUCCUCCAGGGUGAUGGCUCCUUGGCCCAAACCUGCCUUGGUCUCCUUCUGGCUCAUGUCUCUCUGCUCCAUCACCCUGGCUGGAGUUCACCAUAUCUCCUAUUUCCAGCUCAUCUCCCCGCAGGCGGCCUCUGGUCUGCCCAAGCGACUGCAAGUGAUGAGGGUGAAUGACCUGGUGCUCUCAGUCUAUGACAGCAACACACGCAGGCGAGUUCCCCGCAAUGGGUACAGCCCAGGGAACCAGGAAAGCCAGCAGUUCUGGAAUGCACACACGGCUGGGUGCCUGGCCUGGGACUCCUGGGUGGAGUACCAGGGCCUGGUGCGGGAUCUGAACACCAGCUCCCCAAAGGCGGAGCCCUACUACAUGCAAGUCCUAAAGACCUGUGAGCUGGACGAUGCCACUGGUGCUGUCCGAGCUGUCACCAGAUAUUCCCUCAAUGGGGAGGACAUGCUGCAGCAUCAGACUGAUCAGAAUCGCUGGUUCUCAGUGCACCCAGCAGCCUGGUGA